UCCCAGCUGUAAACGAUGCGGGCUAGCUGUUGGGAUGGCCACGAGCCAUCUCAGUGGCGCAGGGAAACCAUUAAGCCCGCCGCCUGGGAAGUACGAUCGCAAGAUUGAAACUUAAAGGAAUUGGCGGGGGAGCACCACAAGGCGUGAAGCUUGCGGUUUAAUUGGAGUCAACGCCGGAAAUCUUACCGGGGCUGACAGCAGGAUGAAGGCCAGAUUGAAGGUCUUGCUGGACAAGCUGAGAGGUAGUGCAUGGCGGUCUUCAGCUCGUGCCGUAAGGUGUCCUGUUAAGUCAGGCAACGAGCGAGACCCGCACCCUUAGUUGCCACUGGAUCCCACUGGGAUCCGAGCACCCUAAGGGGACUGCCGCCGACA
rnacentral:rRNA from 1 species